rnacentral:snoRNA from 1 species
UGUUUAAAGACUAGGGAAGGUCCCUGUGCCCCCCAGGGGCUGUGGUUGACACCAUGGCUGCCCCCAGUCUGGGCCAUUGGGGCCAAUGAGUGCCCAGGGACAGUGGACA